rnacentral:misc_RNA from 1 species
AUUUAUAUUAACCGAAACAAAGAUAAAUCAUAUAACGUGCGUAUUCUUUUUGUUAUCACUAGUUCAAUCCAAAAUUAAUUUCAAUUGAAUCAACAAAAACUCAUCCUAAAUCCAUAUCUCCAUUUUAUUGCCACACAAAAUCAUGAAAUAAGCUUAAAGGUCAUGUACUCAUUUUGAAGUAGUAACACGUUGAAUGUAAACUUGAUAAUGGGCAAGCAAUUCAUCUCUAGGAGGUAAAUAUUUCUUGUUUUGCGUACAAUAUUCGUCUCUCCAAUCACAAAAAUUUGGAUAUUUUUCUCUUGUCACCAAAACAACUCCAGAUGCUUCUUCAAGAACUCCUAGCCAAAGGGCUGCAGCAUUUGCAACAAUAUCAACAAAUCCAAAUUUUUCACCAACAAAAAUCUUCUUGUUUUUCAGCUCAUUAUCAAGAACUUUCAACAUAUCAUAAACUUCCUCUUUAGCUUUCUCUUGCUCCUCUCCUUUGA